GUCCAACUGACAAGUCCAAAUAAGACGAAACGCGCGUCCUUGAU
rfam:Schistosoma mattheei strain Denwood, Zambia genome assembly, scaffold: SMTD_contig0000427